CCGUAUGCGGGAGGCUUCGACACGCGGUCCAUAUUCUGGCCGCCGAGACCGCGCCGAGCCACUGGCGAGACCGACCCGCCCGCAC
rnacentral:ncRNA from 1 species